ensembl:lncRNA
UUGUUCGACUCGGUGACUCUGAUGCAGUCAUGGCUCACCACCUUAGCCAUCCUCGGCCUCACGGCCCUCGGCUCGUACGGCAGCACCACCGAAAAGAAGGACCUGCUCUCCCUGGUAGGUUACACCGCUUUAAAAAAAUCCUUAUCUCACAUUUGCAUUCAGUACGGCCUGAUUCCUGUUCCGGGAGAGAGCUACGCAGUGGGAAAGCGGUCCUUCAGAUGACACUGCCACAACAGCAGCUCAGGGGAGAUGAACAUGUGAAAUACAUGUAAAGUUCCAUCCAUCCAUUUUCUGCCACUUGUCCUUUUCAGGGUCACGGGUGCCUGAAGCCGAGCCCAGCUGCUGUGGGCCGGGGCUGGGUACACCCUGGACAGCGUUGGCUGUCUGUUACAGGGCUGGCACAGACAGCCACGCACACUCACAUUCACACCUAGGGGUAAUUUAGGGUGACCAAUUAACCUGACGUGCAUGUUUUAGGACUGAGGGAGGAAGCCGGAGGGAACCCACGCACGGGGAGAACAUGCAAACUCCACACUUGAACCCAGGACCUUCUUAUUGUGAGGUGAGAGCACUAACCACUGCUCCACCACGCGGCCCACAUGUUUUCAUUGUCAAUCUGGUGCCUGUUCCCUUCCACCUUUGCCAAAGCCAUAUAAUGUACAUAUGUUUACAUGUUGGUGAGCCUGGUGGUGCCAAUGAUGAACCGCUCCUAAAGCUGCUCCACUCUCCUCUCACUGGCAGGUCUGCCUUUAGAAGACAGGAAUUUCCUCCCGUAUGUUGGCCCAACCUAUCAAUUCCAUAAACACACAAUUCAACGCUGAGGCGACUUCGGCCUGGAGUUGGUCAUCCGACACAAAGGUGGAGAGGCCGCGCUCGGAGGUCCAUCUUCGGACAUUUCUGUCUGAAAACCCCCGGACCGGGCCAGACCGACUGCACAGGUCUCGUGGUAGGUACAGGAAGGAGGUCACGGUGUUCCUCGUUGGAGCUAACAGCGGACUGUUGCUGUGGUUUCAGUUCUGUGUCCUGAUGUGGAUUAUCACCGUCUCAUUGGUGACCUCCGGCAUCGCCAACAUCGUGAUUACCCUGAUGGUCAACUCUAAAAUGCCUGCAGGCGACCAACAGAGUUUGACCGAGUCCUUAAGCAUGACGUCGGGAUUCUUCUUCGGAUCCGGCGCCUGCACGUUUGUGGGAGGCCUCUUGUCCAAACUCAUGGUGAAUCGGAUCAACCAGAGCAGCCAUGUUCAGACUUCCAUCCCGCCAAUGGAUUCCCCUCCACUCUUGACCAGUGAAUGCUGAGACGAGAAACCUCUGCUACACUGUACCAACACAAUGCUUGUUUCCUGUUUCUGUAACAAAUGUCACAAUUUAAUAAAAUGGAUACUUUUUUAUUUCAAUGAAAACACAUUUAUGCCUUCGAUGCUUGUCUCUCUAUAUUUUCUUCAUAUAAAAGGAAGACUGCUUCAAAAAAUUG